CAUGGCGGGACGGUGCGGACGCGGCAGGUGCGGCGCAGAGCGGGAGGCAUCGGGAACGGGAACGGGACUGGGAAUGGCCCGGCGCAAGGCCGGGCCGGGUCGGGCCGCCUCCAGUGUGCUCCUGUGUCCGUGUCUGCCCGUCUGGGCACUACCGGGGCCGGUCGGGUUGGAGAGUGUGGUAUAAAGUACUGAGACCAUGCAGUCGUUGGGAGCCAAGAGCAUCACUAGUGUAUUGUUAUUAUCUCCAGACCCAAGAGAUGUCACCUGCUCCUGCCAGGAACACAACACAGUUGACUAGGAUAAGAAAACUUUUGGCCAAAAUUCACUGAGCGAUCCGUAUCUAAGACAAACACAAAUUGCUGGUGCCUGUUAGCCUUGCAGAAGUUGACUGUAGGAACAUCUGGAUUAAUGCAAGUCACGAGGAUGGUGAUGGAUGCUGCUGCUGCUGCUGCAAGAUGUACAAAAAUAGAGUUGCUUUGCCCUACCACAUGUAUGACUGGAUAAUUAGAAACGUGCACUAGUGGGUAAUUAGGUGGUUCAUGUCAUUCCCUUGUAUAAAACCCCUAAAGAAAAAUCUCUGGGGUGUGCCCAGUUUGGCUCAGGCACCUUAUGCACGCGAAUAAAUAUUUACUUCUAUAAUU